ensembl:lncRNA
UAAAUUAACAGAUUUUUAUUUAUUUUUUUACAAAUGCAGAGAUACUUUCUUACAAAUGCACAGAUAUUUUCUUACUAAUGCACAGAUAUUUUCAUAAAAAUGCACAUUUUCUUAUAAAUGCAGAUAUUUCCUUACAAAUGCACAGAUAUUUUCUUACAAAUGCACAGAUUAUAAAAAUAAAUGUAAAUUUUUCUAAAGUAUAAAAAUGUUUUCAGUUGGGGCUUUUAGUCACCAAAUAUUUUACGAACUAGGUGACUCAUGAGUUGGAGUGGAAUCAUGAAUAGGCUCUUGGGUGAACCCUCAGAGCUCUUUGCCCCAGAUGUGAUAGUCGUGACUGAUAGGCAUUAGGAUUUUGCUGCCUCCAAAAAUGGGGAUGGGACCAUAGAUAUGCUCUUGGGUGAAGCCUCAGAGCUCUUUGCCCCAGAUGCCAUGGUCUUGAUUGAGGGGCAUAAGCAUUCUGUUGCCUCCACAAGUGGGGCUGGACUGAAGGAUGCACUCUUGGAUGAACCCUCAGUUCUCUUUGCCCUAAAUGUGAUGGUCGUGAUUGAUGGGCAUGAGGGUUCUUCUGCCUCCUAAAAUAGGGAUGGGACCAUGGAUAUGUUCUUGGAUGAAGCCUCAUAGCUCUUUGCCCCAGAUGCCGUGGUUGUGAUUGAGAAGCAUAAACAUUCUGUUGCCUCCACAAACUUGGCUGGAACCAUGGAUGUGCUCUUGGGGGAGCUCUCUGAGCUCUUUGUCCCAGAUCUGAUGGUCGUGAUUGAGGGCGAUGAGGGUUCCACUGCCUGGGCCAUGGAUAUGCUCUGGGGGGAAGUCUUACAGUUCUUUGCCUCAGAUGCAUUGGUCCUCUUUGAUGGGUAUGCGGGUUUUGCUGUCUCCACCAACUGGGUUGGUACCGUGGACAGGAUCUUGGGUAAGGGUUCCAAUGAGCUCUUUGCAUUUGGUCUGCAUUUGGCGGUUGACGGGCACAAGAGUUUCGCUGUCUCGACUGCUGACUUCUCAAAUAAAUAUGGCUGCAUGGACAGGCUCUGAGGUGAAAGAAGCGUUGACCUCUGUUGUUUGUAUUUUUCCUCCUUGAAAGCUGACAUACAUUUAAGUUGUCCUGUUGAAAUAAAAAAAAAACAGACAUUGUCAUACAAUGCUUCUACCAUUUCAACAUGAGUGGUUGGAAAGUAAAAAAAAAGAAAGAAAGAAACAUAAGAGGGACAUACCAGUUUGUUUCUGCUACAUGCAUAUUUUCUUUUCAGAUUAGGUUGGGAGCUCGGACAAGGUCUUGCCUGCUGCCUUUGGUUCCUCUUUUUUCUCCUUCUUUGAGGCUUCUGCUGUACCUUCGCAUCUUUUAUUGUGUGCUGUUUUUUGCAUGGAGCACAUUUAUUGUAUUGCUGAAGGGACAGAGUUGGUGCUCCCUGUGGGGAAAACUCAGGCUCAGGUAGUCUCUCCAGGGAACACACAAGCAUGGGUUCUUCCUCCAGGGAACACACAAGCAUAGGUUCUUCCUCUGGGGAACACACAAUCAUGGGUUCUUCCUCCGGGGAAUACACAAGCAGGGGUUCUUCCUCUGAGGAACAUUCAGGCAUGGGUGUUUCUUUCAGAGUCUUGGCAGGUUGGGAUACUCCCUGUGACGUCCUAGCCUUAUUAAAUGAGGACCUGUAUGGUUCCUCCACCUUUGCUUUGUCAAGAUGGACUGUAAGAAGAGAAAGGCUUUGUGGGGUCCCGGUGUGCAUGGAUGCUUCCUGAGAGGAACACUCAGGCAUGGCUGCUCCUUGUGAAGAACUCUCUGGCACAGGUGAUUUCUGUGAGGACUUAACAGGCAAGAGUUUUCUCUGUUUCGAGGAAGCUUGAGACUUAUCCUGCUGGUGCUUCGUUGUGGAAGCUUGAGACUUAUCCUGCUGGUGUUUCCUUGUGGAAGCUUGAGACUUAUCCUGCUGGUGUUUCCUUGUGGAAGAAACGGGUGAAGAUAUUCCAAGAUUUAAUAACUUGGGCAUGGGAGCUUCUUCAGGGAAGCCAGAGGGCGAGGGUGUUUGACGAGGGGAAGAUGCUCCCUGAGGGUAAGACUCAGGCAUGAGGGCUUCCUGUGGGGGAAACUCAGGCUUGGGUGCUUUCUCUGAGAAACACACAAGCAUGGGUUCUUCCUCUGGGUAACACACAAGCAUGGGUUCUUCCUCUGGGUAACACACAAGCAUGGGUUCUUCCUCUAUGGAACACACAAGCAUGGGUUCUUCUUCCUCUGGGGAACACUCAGACAUGGAUGCUUCUUUUUGACCCUUGGCAGGUUCGGAGACUCCCUGUGACAUCCUUGCCUUAUUAUAUGGGGACCUGCAGGGUUCUGUUGCCUCCACUGUAGCUUUGUCAAGAUGGUCACAAGACAAGUUUUGUGGGGUCCCGGUGGUCAUGGAUGCUUCCUCAGGGGAACACUCAGGCAUGGCCGCAUCUUGUGAAGAACUCUCUGGUACAGGUGAUUUCUGUGAGGACCUGGCAGGUAAAAGUGUUCUCUGUCUCAAGGAAGGUUGAGACUUAUGCUUCUGGCGCUUCCAUAUGGAAGAAACGAGUGAAGAUAUUGCCAGACUGACUAACUUGGGUAUGGAAGCUUCAAGAGGGAAGCCAUCAGGCAAGGGUUUUUGAUGAGGGGAAGAUGCUCCCUGAGGGGAAGACUCAAGCAUGAGUGCUUCCUGUGGAGAAAACUCAGACUCUGAAGUUUUUUCUGAGAAACUCACAAGCAUGGGUUCUUCCUCUGAGGAACACACAAGCAUGGGUUCUUCCUCUGGGGAACACACAAUCACGGAUUCUUCCUCUGGGGAACACACAAACAUGGGUUCUUCAUCUAUGGAACACACAAGCAUGGGUUCUUCCUCCAGGGAAUACACAAUCAUGGGUCCUUCCUCUGGGUAACACUCAAGAAUGGGUUCUUUCUGUGGGAAACAUUCAGUCACAGGUGCUCCCUGAGAGGAAGACUCGGGCACAGGAGAUUUCUGUGCAGUCUUGACAGACAAGCAUUUUCUCUGUCUCAAGAAGGCUUGACACUUAUGUAGCUGGUUUUUCUUUGUGGAUAAGACGGGUACAGAUGUUCCUAGGGUAAACAACUUAGGCAUGGGUGUUCUAUGAUUGGAUGAUGCUCCCUGAGGGGAACCUUCGGGAGUAAACACUUCCGCUGGGGGUAACUCAAACACCGGCCCUCCCUCUGAAUAACUCUCAAGCAGAGGUGCUUCCUGUGGGGUCUUAGCAGCCAUGUAUACUUCCUGUGUGGAUCCUGUGGAAACCAGUGUUCCUUGAGAAGAAUACUCCAGCACAGGUGUUCCUGAGAAACACUCAGACAGGGGUGCUUCCUUUGGGAAACAUUCAGUCACAGGUACUCCCUGAGAGGAAAACUCAGGCACAGGAGAUUUCUGUGCGGUCUUGACAGAUGAAUGUGUUCUCUGUCUCAAGAAAGCUUGAUACUUAUGUAGCUGGUACUUCUUUGUGGAUAAGACGGGUAUAGAUAUUCCUAGGGUGAACAACUUGGGCAUGGGUGUUCUAUGAUUGGAAGAUGCUCCCUGAGGGGAACCUUCGGGAGUGAACGCUUCCGCUGGGGGUAACUCAAACACCGGCCCUCCCUCUGGAUAACUCUCAAGCAGAGGUGCUUCAUGUGGGGUCUUAGCAGGCAUGUAUACUUCCUGUGGGGAUCCUGUGGAAACCAGUUUUCCUUGAGAAGAAUACUCCAGCACAGGUGUUCCUGAGAAACACUCAGACAGGGGUGCUUCCUUUGGUAAACAUUCAGUCACAGGUGCUCCCUGUGAGGAAAACUCAGGCACAGGAGAUUUCUUUGCAGUCUUGACAGACAAGCGUUUUCUCUGUCUCAAGAAGGCUUGAUACUUAUGUAGCUGUUUGUCCUUUGUGGAUAAGACGGGUACAGAUAUUCCCAGGGUGAACAACUUGGGCAUGGGUGUUCCAUGAUUGGAAAAUGCUCCCUGAGGGGAACCUUUGGGAAUAAACGGUUCCGCUGGGGGCGACUCAAACACAGGUUCUCCCUGUGGGGAACACUUAAGCACCAUUGCUCCUUGUAUGCUCCCGGUGUGCACAUAUUCUCUCUGUGUGGAACAUUUGGACACACGUGCUCCCUGUGUGGAACACUUGGGUAUGAAUGAUCCCUCUGGGGAACACUUGAGCAGUGGCCCUCCCUCUGGGAAAUUUGCAAGCACAGAUUCUCCCUGUGGGGUCUCAGCUGGCAAAUAUACUCCCUGCAGGGAUUCUGUGGAAACUGGAGUUCCCUGAGUGUAACACUCAAGCACAGGUGAUCUCUGUGGGGACUUAACAGGCUUAGGUGCUCUCUGUCUCAAGGAGGCUUGAGGCUUAUACUCCCGGCGCUCCUGAAACAGACAUGAAGGCUGUGAUCGCCCUUUCUGGACAUGAAGGGUGGGUACAGAUAAUCCCAGAGCUCCCUGUGGGGAACACUCAGUCACAGAAGCUGCCUGUGGGGAGCACAUGGGCAUUGGUGCUCCCUCUUGAAAACACCCAGACACAGGAUCUUCCUGUAAUACAGGGGCUCCCUGUGUCGAACACUUGGACAUGGGUGCUCCCUGUGGAGAACACAUGGGUAUGUAUGAACCCUCUGGCGAACACUUGAACACUGGCCCUCCCUCUGGAAAACUCUCAAGCAGAGGUGCUCCCUGUGGGGUCUUAGCAGGUAUGUAUACUCCCUGCAGGGAUCCUGUGGAAACCGGUGUUCCUUGAGAAGAAUACUCCAGCACAGGUGUUCCUGAGAAACACUCAGACAGGGGUGCUUCUUUUGGGAAACAUUCAGUCACAGGUGCUCCCUGUGAGGAAAACUCAGGCACAGGAGAUUUCUGUGCGGUCUUGACAGACAAGUGUGUUCUCUGUCUCAAGAAAGUUCGAUACUUAUGUAACUGGUACUUCUUUGUGGAUAAGAUGGGUACAGAUUUUCCCAGGGUAAACAACUUGGGCAUGGGUGUUCCAUGAUUGGAAAAUGCUCCCUGAGGGGAACCUUUGGGAAUAAACGGUUCUGCUGGGGGCAACCCAAACACAGGUUCUCCCUGUGGGGAACACUUAAGCACCAUUGCUCCUUGUAUGCUCCCGGUGUGCACAUAUUCUCUCUGUGUGGAACAUUUGGACACAUAUGCUCCCUGUGUGGAACACUUGGGUAUGAAUGAUCCUUCUGGGGAACACUUGAAAAAUGGCCAUCCCUUUGGGAAAUCGGCAAGCACAGAUUCUCCCUGUGGUGCCUCAGCUGGCAUAUAUAAUCCCUGCAGGGAUCCUGUGGAAACUUGAGUUCCCUGAGUGGAACACUCAAGCACAGGUGCUCCCUCUGAGGAACACUCAGGCACAGGUGAUCUCUGUGGGAACUUAACAGGCUUAGGUGCUCUCUGUCUCAAGGAGGCUUGAGGCUUAUACUCCCGGCGCUCCUGAAACAGACAUGAAGGCUGUGAUCGCCUUUUCUGGACAUGAAGGGUGGGUACAGAUAAUCCCAGAGCUCCCUGUGGGGAACACUCAAUCACAGAAGCUGCCUGUGGGGAACACAUGGUCAUUGGUGCUCCCUCUUGAAAACACUUGAACACUGGCCCUCCCUCUGGAAAACUCUCAAGCAGAGGUGCUCCCUGAGGGGUCUGAGCAGGCAUGUUUACUCCCUGCAGGGAUUCUAUGGAAACCGGUGUUCCUUGAGAAGAAUACUCCAGCACAGGUGUUCCUGAGAAACCCUCAGACAGGGGCGCUUCCUGUGAGGAACACUGAAGCUCAGAUAAUCUCUCUGGGGUCUUAACACACCUGGGUGCUCUCUGUCUCAAGGAGGCUUGAGGUUUAUACUCCCGGCGCUCCUGGAACAGACAUGAAGACGGUGAUUGCCCUUUCUGAACACGAAGGUUCCGUGUGGAAGAGGCAGGUACAGAUAAUCCUAGAGUGAACAAUCUUGGCAUGGGAGCUCCCUGUGGGGAACACUCGGGCAUGAGUGUUUCCUGCAGGGUACAAUUGUUGGUCAUUGGUGCUCCCUGAGUGAAACAGCAUACGGUUGUUGCUCCUUCUCAGAAUUAGUCAGACAUGGUUGGCUCCUUUAAAGGAUGUAAAAUGGUCAAUCUAUAAAAUCAUGGAAUUGUGCUAAUCCACUUGUGUCUGCAACAUUAUCUGUGAACCAC